rnacentral:lncRNA from 10 species
GUGCCAGGGUACAGACUCUUAAUUCCUUCUGGAAUACUGAGAGUGCCGGGAAAUGACAGCUUAAUGUUCAGGGUACGUCUUAGUUUGUCUUGGAUCUUGUGACAGGGACAGCUGCAUUAGUCUUGGAGUGAAAGUGUAUCUGAGUAUGUUGGGCCACAUUUGCAGUAGUUUGUUCUGAACUCCAGAGCUAUUGACCAAGCCCGUCCUGCCUUCUGAGGUAUGGAAGACACUGAGGCCUCCUGACCCACGGCACAGCAUUCUCUGCUUCCAGCGCGUCUGCCUUGGGCCAUCACCCCAGAGAGUUUGAUCAAGACCCAAGCCUAAUCCAGGUCCUACCCUUCUCAGCCCCCAUCCCACUUGGGUUUAUUUACUUAUUCAAACAAACAUCAAAUGAGCAUCUACAUAUUAGGAUUCUAGAUAGGGGUGUGGGGUCAGUGUGCAGGGACGGCAGCAUAGAAGAGGGACUUUGGUUGAGACUUGAAGGAUGAAUAGGAGUUUGCCAAAGGGUCAAAGGAUAGGAAGCUAUUUGAGGAAGAAGAAACUGCAUAUACUACACAAAUAUACAGAGGACCCUGGUCAGCCAUGUGGUUGGAGCACAAAGUGAAAAGUGAGGAGAGAGGGAGAAGAGAGACUUGAACAGGGAAGCAGAGAACAACAGAUGGAAGAUCUUGUAGCUGAGCUAAGGAGUAUGAAUUUUUUUCCCCUAGGAUGGAAAAACACAGAAGUUUUUUCAAAUUUCCAAGUAGGAAGUUAUGAUUCCAAAAAAAAGAAAAAGAAAAAGAAAAGAAGGCUUUUUCUAAUUAGAAAGGUCAGGUUAGUGGCAUUGUGGAAGACGGAUUGGACAGGGGCAAAAGUAGACCCAGGGAGACUAGUCAGUCUAGCCAGUCAGCCAACAAGUGUUUUGUAAGUUCUGUAGUAGGUUAAAUAGUUGCUUCCCCCACUCCAAAAGUUAUGCCCAUGUCCCAGAACCCGUGAAUGUGACCUUAUUUGGAAAACAGAACUUUAAAGAUGUAAUCAAGUUAAGGAUCUCAGGAUCCUUGAUUAUCUGAUGGGCCUUAAAUCCAAUGGCAAAUGUCCUUAAAAGAAACAAAUGCAAGAGAAGGCCACUGAAGACAGAGGCAGAGAUUGCAGUGAUGCAGCCAUAAGCCAAGGAAUGCCCGGAAAUGUCAGAAGCAGAAAGAGCAGAUUCUCCCUUCAAGCCUUCAGAGGGAGUGUGGCCCUGCUGACAUCUUGACAUCAAACCUCUAGCCUCCAGAACAAUGAGAAUAAAUUUAUGUUGCCUUAUGCC